GAAAAGGAACAUAUGGCAUAUGGUGGAUGCCUUGGGAUAAGAAGCCUAUGAAGGACGCGCUAGACUGCGAUAAGCCUCAAGGAGGUGUCAAGAACCGUUAUACUUGGGGAUGUCCGAAUGGGGGAACCCCCGUCGUGGCAACACGGCGGACGCCGCGCGUAGCGCGGCGUGGGAACUCGGCGAACUGAAACAUCUUAGUAGCCGGAGGAAAAGAAACAAUUCCCUUAGUAGUGGCGAGCGAAAGGGGAAAAGCUCAAAUUCCGAUUUUAUCGGGAGGUUGUAGGAACUGCAUAAUGCAAAGGAAAGGCUGGCAGAAAUGUCUGGAAAGUCAUAUCACAGAGGGUAAUAAUCCCGUACGCGAAAGCUUAUUACCGCGCAGGCAGUAUUCCUGAGUACCACGAGACACGCUAACCUUGUGGGAAUCUGGGGUGACCACACCCCAAAGCUAAAUACUUCUUAUCACCGAUAGUGAACAAGUACCGUGAGGGAAAGGUGAAAAGCACCCCGGUUAGGGGAGUGAAAUAGUUACUGAAACCAUAUGCUUACGAGCUGGUGGAGCUUGUGCGUAGCACAAGUAAAUUCUAAAUUCAAAGUCCCAAAUAAAUCCUAAAUUAUAAAUCCUAAUGUUCAAAACAAGAUAUGUUUUGAGUUUGGGAUUUUGCAAUUGGGAUUCGUUUGGAGCUUAGAUAUUAGGAUUUACCCGCGCUGCGCGCGAGUGACACCGUGCCUAUUGAAGAAUGAGCCUGCGAGUUAUCUUAAUAUGCGUUGCUUAAGCCCCUACGGGGUGGAGGCGUAGCGAAAGCGAGUCUUAAUAGGGCGUUUUGUAUGUUAAGAUGGACCCGAAACCGGGUGAGCUAACCUUGAGCAGGGUGAAUCCCGAUGAAGAUCGUGGAGGAGGCCCGAACCCUUGUAUGUUGCAAUAUGCUGGGAUGACUUGAGGUUAGGGAUGAAACGUUUAUCGAACCCGGAGAUAGCUGGUUCUCCCCGAAAUAUAUUUAGGUAUAGCCCUAAAAGGUGAGCUUUGGAGGUAAAGAUACUGGAAGGAGACGCGGCGGGAAACCGUACGCUCUCCUACCAAACUCAUAAUGCCAAAGUUUCUAUUUUAGGAGUCGGUAUGUGGGAGCAAGUUCCAUAGUACAAAAGGGAAACAGCCCAGACCAUCAGCUAAGGCCCCUAAAUCCGGAUUAAGUGUGAAAGGAAGUGAAAUUGCUAAAACAUCCAGGAGGUUGGCUCAGAAGCAGCAAUCCUUUAAAGAGUGCGUAACAGCUCACUGGCAUAGCGAUUUCGCGCCGAAAAUUUAUCGGGGCUCAAAUCCGGUGCCGAAGCUAUGGAUACUUGUGCUUCGCACGAGGAAUUCCUAAUUGACCUAAUUGAUAUAAUUAACCUAAACAAAUCCUAGUUUUGGGAAUUAUUUAGAAAUUAGAAAUUAGAAAUUUCCCGUGCGGAGCAUGGGUGUGGUAGGGGAGCGUUCCUAUUGCGACAAAGGUUUCCUGUAAAGGCAAACUGGAGCGGUAGGAAGUGAGAAUGCAGGCAUGAGUAGCGUAAUCCCGAUGAAAAUUCGGGACGCCGAAAGCCCAAGGUUUCCUUCGCAACGUUGUUCGGCGAAGGGUUAGUCGGUCCUAACCGUAGUCCCGAUGAAUCGGGAUGGGGGAUGGACAAACGGUUAAUAUUCCGUUACUUUAAGAUAUCUGUUGAUGGAGCGACGAAGUUUGAUAAGCGGAGCGGCUAUAUGGUUGGCCGUCUAAGCAGUAAGUCAGCAAGUGUAGGCAAAUCCGCAUUUGCGAAAAAUCCCUUUUUGGGAAAGAAGGCGAGCUGUGGGAAAUUCCUUUUUGGGAAAUUCCGCCAACUUAAGCUUCCAAGAAAACCUUCUAAACUUUAGAUGUCUUAAAUCCGUACCGCAAACCGACACUGGUGGGCAGAUAGAGAAUAUUAAGGUGAACGGGAGAACGAUGGUUGAGGAACUCGGCAAAUUAACCCCGUAACUUAGGGAUAAGGGGAACCUGCCUCGUGUGGAGCACGAGGGUGAUAAAUUAAAAAUGUAAAUAUCAAGACAUAAAGAAGGGGAAAGCGCAUGGUAUUAAACUUUAAACAUUUGAAUUUUGUCAUUCUCACGCUCUGCGUGAGGCGGGUCGCAGGUAAACGGCCCAAGCGACUGUUUAGCAAAAACACAGCACUCUGCUUAACCCGUAAGGGGAUGUAUAGGGUGUGAGGCCUGCCCGGUGCCCGUAGGUUAAACCCAGAGGUUCACGCUUUUGGGCUAAGCCCGGGUGAACGGCAGCAGUAACUAUGAGUAAUGUUGUAGUUGUAAAAGUUGACUAUAUGCUGGAACAUCCGUACCGUAGCAAACGGUUGUAGUAUCUGGCGCUACCGUAUAUAAUUUAUUAUAUGGUGAAAAUGUGUUCAGUGCGGAAAAUCAGCAGGAAAGGCCUAAAAAGCACAGAAGUUGGAUAUUUCUUAGCAGGAUUUGUUGAAGGUGAAGGUAGUUUUAAUGUCUCUUUACAUAGGAAGGACGAUUACAAAUUGGGUUGGCAGGUGGUUCUAAGCUUUAAUGUGUCGCAGAAAGAUAGAACUAUCUUGGAUAUGCUUAAAGAUAAGUUAAAGUGCGGAAUAAUAAAAACACGCAGAAGAGACGAUCUUCAUUCUUUUGAUGUUACCAAGGCUGCGGAUAUAGUGGAAAAAGUAAUACCUUACUUUAGUAAAUAUCCAGUUAUGUCGCGUAGCAAAGUUGUGAACUUCGAGAUAUUUUGUUCGAUUGCUGAGUUGGUAUGAUGUAUUUGCUUUUUAGGAAUCCUCAGAGACUGCACGUCGACUCCGCCCAAUGGCGGAAUGAUAUAGUCCGAUCUCUAAAGCGAUUUAGAGAGCUGUAAUCAAUCAGCUUAAUAACAAUAUGAACUGUUCUAAGGUAGAAGUAGCGCUGCCUUAGUGUUCGCCUUUCCAAUUAUUAUCGGAAUGACAGCGAGCCUUUUGAGCUGUGCUCAAAAGAAAAAUCUAGCUAUAUGCUGGAAAAUCUCGUUUAGGUUGUUAGUACCGAAAGGUGAAAAUCUAACAAAUAGAGACAAUCAGCAGGAAAGAUUCGCCAGCUGGCGGAAAUCCCCACUCACUAUACGCUAGAUCCUGAUUAAAUCGGGAAAGAGAUAGUGGCGUCUACAUAGAGAUAUGUAGUGGUUGUAAUGAUAAUGGAAGUUACAACCUGAAGUUACUUAUUGUAACAAAGAUUAACAAGCGAAAUUCCUUGUCGGGUAAGUGGGAGUAACGAGCCCGAUUAAAAGCCGGCUUAUAACGGUGGAGCCUUAUUGACUAUUCGGUUAGCAUGCGGUAUAGUCAGAGGUAAUACCGUGGGAAGUCUCCCGAUCAAAUCGGGAUGACCCCGUAUCGACUGAUCCUUUUUAGGUGAGAUAGAAAGUUUCUUAACUUCUAUCAUACGCCGGACAGGUUGCUUAAUAUGAGUAUUGAUUCAAAUUAUGUUUCUGGUUUUGUUGAUGGUGAGGGUUCAUUUCUUGUUUUUUUUCUCCGAGAUCAAAACUUAAAACUGGGAUUGAGGUAAGACCAAGUUUCAGUGUUAGUCAAAGGACUGAUAGAUCAGAAGUUUUGUGGUCUAUCAAGGGGUUGUUUGGCUGUGGUCAGAUUAGAUACUCCAAAAAAGAUAAUACUUAUAAGUAUGAAGUUAGAUCUUUGGAAGAUUUGAACGGGAAAAUUAUACCUCAUUUCAAUAAAUUUCCUUUGUUAUCGUCAAAGCAGAAGGAGGUUGAAACAUUUUCUGUUAUCUGUAGUAAGGUUCUUAAUAAAGAACAUUUGAAGGCAGAGGGUUUAAAGGAAAUAAUAGAAAUGUCUUUUUCUUUAAACUCAGGUGGAUCAAGACGGUAUUCAAAAGAAUAUAUUUUAAGCAAACUGAAGAUAUAGUCAGUACCAUUAGAAAUAAUGGAGAUGUAUGAAGUUCCGACCCGCAUGAAAGGCUUAACGACUUGGGCGCUCUCUUAACCAUUGACCCGGCGAAAUUGCGGUAUCCGUGAAGACGCGGAUUGCACGCCGCAGGACGAAAAGACCCUAUGGAGCUUUACUGUAACUUGACAUUGGCAACUGUUUUAGACUGUGUAGAAUAGGUGGGAGUCCGCCAACUGGCGGACGCCAGUGAAAUACCACCCUUUCUGAGAUGGAAGCCUUACCCCGGCGCCGAAAAUGGGCGAAGGGGGACCAUGUCUGGCGGGCAGUUUGACUGGGGCGGUCCCCGCCUAAAAAGUAACGGCGGGACCCAAAGGUCAGCUUAGUCCGGAUGGAAAUCGGACUUUAAGUGUAAAGGCAUAAGCUGGCUUAACUGCAAGACCUACAAGUCGAGCAGAUGCGAAAGCAGGGCUUAGUGAUCCUCUAGAGCUUAGUGGUAGGCUCAGAGCUUAAUGGAUAAAAGUUACCCUAGGGAUAAAUUCUGAAAAAAGAAUUUUGUUGUCCCUCUUCUGAGUAAUCAGAUGUUAAAAUAUGGCUAAUAACGGUGGAAACUAUAUGUGCUUGGGUUUCGGGUAGACCCUUUUAAAGUGAGCAUAUUGGCAAUACCGUGGGAAGUCGAGAAACUGUAAUGAGUAUCAAAAUAACUCCAAAACAAGAGGGUGUUGUUAUAGGCUCUAUUUUGGGGGAUGGGUAUGUUCAAAAGACUGGUAGUAAAAACGCUCGUUUAAGGUACGAGCACAGUAGCAAGCAAAAGUUGUAUCUAGUGUGGAAGGUGUCAGUGCUGGGAACGCUUUUUAAUGGCAAACCAGUUUUUGUGGAGCGUGUCCAUCCGAAAACCAAUAAAACUUAUAAAUAUGUUAGGCAUCAGUCUAACUCAACGCCGUAUCUAGGUAAAUUGAGGAAAAUUUUCUACCCGGAAGGUAGAAAAAUUAUUCCUAGCAAUUUACAAGAUUUAUUGAAACACCCAAUUUCUUUGGCGGUGUGGUUUUUUGAUGAUGGUUAUUUAUGCAAGAAACACCAAGGAUCUUAUUUGUAUUUGGGAAAAGUUUCUUCGGAAGAAGCUACUGUAGCGCAAAUUGCUAUACACCAUAACUUUGAUAUAGAUUCAAAGGUUUAUUCAAAAGGUGUUAAAGGUUAUGCGUUGUAUUUCAAUUCUGCUAAUACUAAAAAAUUGGUAGGGCUGAUUAAGGAGUUUGCAUCUUCCGAUAUGAUUUACAAGGUUUCUUUGACCCCGUAACGACUGAGCGAAAUCCAUAAUGUGGAGAGUAGCGAGAUUUGUUUGUUUCAAACAACAAAUCAUACGCCAUCUCCCGACAAAGUCGGGAUGAAGAUAUAGUCUAAUCUAGUAUAGAUUGAACAGGCUUAUCGGAUCCGAGAGUUCACAUCGACGAUCCGGUUUGGCACCUCGAUGUCGGCUCAUCGCAACCUGGGGGGGUAGCCCCUCCCAAGGGUCCGGCUGUUCGCCGGUUAAAGCGGUACGCGAGCUGGGUUCAGAGCGUCGUGAGACAGCUCGGACUUUAUCCGCGGUGUGCGUUUACAGUUGAGAGGAGCUCUUGAUAGUACGAGAGGACCUCAAGGGACAAACCUCUGGUGUACCAGUUGUUCUACCAAGGGCAUUGCUGGGUAGCUAUGUUUGGUCGGGAUAAGAGCUGAAAGCAUCUAAGCACGAAGCCCACCUCAAGAUGAACUGUAUGCCUUGUGCGUAGCACGAGGGUGAUAAAUUCAAAAUGUGAAUGUCAAGACAUAAAAAAGGGAAAGCCGCAUGGUUUUAAACUUUAAACAUUUGAAUUUGAAUUGAAUUUUGUGGAUUUGAAUUUUGUCAUUCUCACGCUAUGCGUGAGGCGAGGUCUACCGGGAGACUACCGGAUAUAGGCGGCAGGUGUAAGUACAGUAAUGUAUUCAGCCGAGUCGUACUAAUUGACCUACAAUCCUUUUUCU
rfam:Bacterium CG09_39_24 isolate CG09_39_24 CG09_land_8_20_14_0.10_scaffold_1156, whole genome shotgun sequence.